rnacentral:rRNA from 1 species
CCUGGCGGAGAUAGCGCGGUGGUCCCACCUGACCCCAUGCCGAACUCAGAAGUGAAACGCCGUAGCG